GAAUUUUAAAUUUAAAAAACUUUACCCGCCACUUUUUUGCCCAAAUUCUUGAAGCUCUGACCACUACCACCCCUACAAUACCUACAUAAACGGAUAGAGUUCCUCAAGACCUACCUAUUGAUGUCAAUUCUGCCCCGAAAAUCCGCCUACCAAAAAUCUGGCCAAAUUCCGGCGAUCUCCCUGAAUUCCCUCGUUUGGCAUACCACCAUUGUUUCAGCCACUUGAAUUGUGAAAUGCAGGAGGGGAGAUCUGGACACAGAGAGAAAAAAAGGAAGAGAAAAAUCAGCAGCUAAAGCAUCCUUUAGCAUCUAAAAAUUAUACAUAUGUGACUAGUGGCCUUUGAGAGCAGAGGCAUGUAUGCAUGCAGGGACUUAUGUGAGCUGCAUUCCAUAUUACGACCCGCGGCCGGUAGAGUCUCCUUCAGAGUAUUUAUA